UGGGGAAUCUUGCGCAACGGGCGAAAGCCUGACGCAGCGACGCCGCGUGAGUGAUGAAGGCCUUCGGGUUGUAAAGCUCUGUGGGGAGAGACGAAUAAGUGCAAGCUAAUACAUUGCAUGAUGACGGUAUCUCCUUAGCAAGCACCGGCUAACUCUGUGCCAGCAGCCGCGGUAAGACAGAGGGUGCAAACGUUGUUCGGAAUUACUGGGCGUAAAGCGAGUGUAGGCGGUUUCCUAAGUCAGGUGUGAAAGCCCCGGGCUCAACCCGGGAAGUGCACUUGAAACUGGGAGGCUAGAGUACUGGAGAGGUUGGUGGAAUUCUCGGUGUAGAGGUGAAAUUCGUAGAUAUCCGGAGGAACACCGGUGGCGAAGGCGGCCACCUGGACAGGUACUGACGCUGAGGCGCGAAAGCGUGGGGAGCAAACA
rnacentral:rRNA from 1 species